UACGGGGGGAGCAAGCGUUGUUCGGAUUUACUGGGCGUAAAGGGCGCGUAGGCGGCACCGCAAGUCGACUGUGAAAUCUCCGGGCUUAACCCGGAAAGGUCAGCCGAUACUGCGGGGCUAGAGUGCAGAAGGGGCAACUGGAAUUCUCGGUGUAGCGGUGAAAUGCGUAGAUAUCGAGAGGAACACCUGCGGCGAAGGCGGGUUGCUGGGCUGACACUGACGCUGAUGCGACGAAGCUAGGGGAGCGAACGGG
rnacentral:rRNA from 1 species